GAUGAACGCUGGCUACAGGCUUAACACAUGCAAGUCGAGGGGAAACGACGGGGAAGCUUGCUUCCCCGGGCGUCGACCGGCGCACGGGUGAGUAACGCGUAUCCAACCUGCCUCUGACUGAGGGAUAACCCGUCGAAAGUCGGCCUAAUACCUCAUGGCAUCGUCUGCGGGCAUCCAACGACGAUUAAAGAUUUCAUCGGUCAGGGAUGGGGAUGCGUCUGAUUAGCUUGUUGGCGGGGUAACGGCCCACCAAGGCUACGAUCAGUAGGGGUUCUGAGAGGAAGGUCCCCCACAUUGGAACUGAGACACGGUCCAAACUCCUACGGGAGGCAGCAGUGAGGAAUAAUGGUCAAUGGGCGGGAGCCUGAACCAGCCAAGUAGCGUGCAGGAUGACGGCCCUAUGGGUUGUAAACUGCUUUUAUGCGGGGAUAAAGUGAGGGACGUGUCCUUCAUUGCAGGUACCGCAUGAAUAAGGACCGGCUAAUUCCGUG
rnacentral:rRNA from 1 species